rnacentral:rRNA from 1 species
GACAUAGGUGGCAAACGUUAUCCGGAAUCAUUGGGCGUAAAGGGUGCGUAGAUGGCCUGAUAAGUUAGCAGUGGGAAAUCGAGGCUCAACCUCGUGGAAGCUGGUAAUACUGUCAGGCUCGAGUGCAGGAGAGGUUAACGGAACUCCAUGUGGAGCGGUAAAAUGUGUAGAUAUAUGGAAGAACACCAAUAACGGCGAAGGCAGUUAACUAUUCUGUUACUGACAUUGAGGCACGAAAGCGUGGGGAGCAAAGCGG